AGCCAUUCUCACACGGCUUCUCAGCCGGGGUCUCCCACCCCGGCCCUGGCCCUGGGCCUGCCCUCACUGCCUCCUCCCCAUCCCCUACCCCUAGAGGCCUCCUGCCCUGGUCACCUACGCGUCACCUAAGCCCCGAGGCCAGGCGGCUUCUUGUCUACUAAAGACUUCCGGAGAGAGGCAUUCACCCUGUGGUCAGAGCUGGGGUUUCCAUGGAGGAGCACCACAGCCAUAAAGAAAGGCUGGUGAGCCCCAGAGCGGAGGACCCUGCCGAGCUGUUUCCAGACUCCUGAUCCACAGAAACCGUGAGAGGAUAACAUUGUUCUGCUUGAAGCCACUACACCUGCCGUCACUUGUCUCGCAUCAUUAGGGAACCAACGUGCUCUGGAAGACAGCAACUCUCAGGGUCCAUUCCGCUGACACCAGCGCCUCAGAUGACACAGGACGUGGCAUGGUGGCUAUUGACUCAUCAAGGGAACAGCAAUGAACAGGGUGCCUGCUCGCUCAUCACACAGGUUGGAUAAGAUCGACAGGAAAAACCCCUCCAACAGCACAGCAGAGCAGCACAGAGCCCUGCCUCUCUCCAGCUGGGGAAGUCGGGAGCUGAAGUGGAAAGCUGGUUGAAGAACAAUGUGAAAAAAAUGAGGCCUGACUCAAUUCCUAAAAGCGGCUGCCUGACCUUAUGCAAGCCACAGCUUCUAUUUACAAACCCAGGAAACUGGACAAAAUACUGAAAGGAUCCCCUAAGAUAAUGAGAGUUAACAACAGAUGCAAAGCAAGGUUCUGUGGAAAUGUAAGGUCGUGUUACCACGCAGGGCUGAAAAGCUUUCCUGACUACUUUCUGAUUUGCGUAUACUAAGGACUAUUUCAAGAGGGUGACAUUUUAUGAAUUAAAGGCAUGCCACUUCCAUUCACAGUGCUGUUCUGAGAGAUUCGAUUCUGUCCUUGACAAUCUAAGAAAAUCUUAACUCUGCAUUAUGUAAAUACUAAGGACACGGGGUGUUUCGAAUGAGACCAACCUCGUAUCUCUCUCAACUCCCUCUCCUCCCGGGGCCACCCUUUUCUUUAAUUGAAAGCACAAUAAACUUAAUCAGCUGCUCCUAACGAUGCCUGCCCCAGCCUGGGAGAUUCAGCAAGGCUUGGGGCGUGCAUGACAAAGAAACACACACUCCAGAAUCUCACUUUUGUUAUUCCCCAGCCAUCUUUUGUUAUGUGGCAUGGGAAAAAUCUUAAUGAGCCUGCCCUGCUGCUGCAGAAAUUCUUGUCAGAUGAAAAGCAGCCCCUCCUUCCACCUGGCAAGGGCUUACAGAGAACACAGCAGCCCACAUCUACUCACGUUUCCUGAAACAAUCCCCUAUUUAACUUCCUAGGCAACAGAAAAUCUGAAGAAAAUGAGAUACCACAGAAGAUGAAUUUGAUGUAACAAAAAGGUGUUUUAAAAAGAUAAGUAGAGAGGCCAUCCUACAAAAUUUCAUGGCUGACAAUGGUAAAAAAGAUGCAGAAAAGGACCAUCUGGCCUGAAAAAUUCAGCCGGGGUCGGGGGAGGGGGUCCCGCAGCAGAGGCCAGGCCUUCAAGGAUGGGGAUCCUCUUCUGUCUUCCUUUUCUCAAAAUGUUUGUUGGAUGAUGGACUUAAUUUUAAAACCCCAAGUCACUGCGGUUUAGCCAGCUAUGGAUGAUGAAAGCACUACAAUCAUUGAAACUGACAAGGAGGCAGUUUCCUUCAAAAAUACGAAAACUGUACGCAGAGUACAUGGAGAAAAAUGUGACACAAGCAUUUGGACACACUACUAAACAACAACAUGGGACAAUAUAGACAACAAUUGGAAAUACACUUUGAGGAGGUAAAAAGUUCAGUAUUCACUGGCUUCCUUUUGGAGGUUGUUAAAUUGCUGAAAUUCAAAUAAAAGUCAUUGAGCCAUUGUGUCUGUCAGCUGUGCCUCUAUCUCACCCCCGGGUGGGUGGAGGUCCCCCUGGCUUU
rnacentral:lncRNA from 1 species